rnacentral:miRNA from 1 species
GAGUAGUCGACCUGAGAUGGA